GCGGCGAUAGCUCAGUCUGGUAGAGCACCCGAAGAUUCGGUAAGUCGUUGGUUCAAAUCCAACUUGCUGCUCCA
rnacentral:tRNA from 1 species